UCAAUAAUCAUGGAAGCUGAGGUCCUCUAUUUAUCUCAUGAUGUACAGCAUGGACAGUGGGAGAGCAAACUUGUCUAUACUACUCUACCAACAUGCCUCAAUUCUGCUCUGUGAUAGGCCUCUUCUAAGGAUUAGAGAUUAGUGCAGUUUCCUUACCCACUCAAUUCUUGGCUUCU
ensembl:misc_RNA